UGCAUUCUUGAGGAGAAGCUUUAGGGAUCUUUGUCAAAAUAUCCUGAGUCUGAUUUACCUGCUGUCACUCACCCUUGCUACCUUGGCAGUGCAUCUCCCAGUUAUUUAACAGUCAUAGGUUGGAGACUCAACUGGAAACUAGAUCACACUGACAAACUUCAGCUUGGGGCUCCACCUCUACUCUUCAACCUUUCACCUCUGAGCCUCAGGAGACACAGCGGUCAAGAGUUACCUGGAUGAACUCCCUGGAUUCCCAUUCUAUUUGGCUUUUCUGCAACCAGCUGAAACUAAGGAAGAGAGAAGAGUGAGGAAACCUGUUCCCUGUGGAUCUAUUAUGAGCAGCUGGAUCUUUCGCUGACAGCUACUCAGGUUUCUCGGUUGAUCUCCAUGGAUACCACAGAGGGAGUAGUCAUCUGCACAGAGGAUCACCCCGGGAGGAGGAAGAUAUACAAGAAUAAAGAAAUUACCACCAUACUGUGAGCAGCUCUCCUCCGCCAGGCC